UACGGGGGGAGCAAGCGUUGUUCGGAUUUACUGGGCGUAAAGGGCGGGUAGGCGGCCACCGCAAGUCAGUUGUGAAAUCUCCGGGCUUAACCCGGAAAGGUCAACUGAUACUGCGGGGCUAGAGUGCAGAAGGGGCAACUGGAAUUCUCGGUGUAGCGGUGAAAUGCGUAGAUAUCGAGAGGAACACCUGCGGCGAAGGCGGGUUGCUGGGCUGACACUGACGCUGAGGCGCGAAAGCUAGGGUAGCAAACGGG
rnacentral:rRNA from 1 species